rnacentral:misc_RNA from 1 species
GAUGAAGAACGCAGCGAAAUGCGAUACGUAAUGUGAAUUGCAGAAUUCAGUGAAUCAUCGAAUCUUUGAACGCAUAUUGCGCUCUCUGGUAUUCCGGAGAGCAUGCUUGUUUGAGUAUCAGUAAACACCUCAACUUCCAUAUCUUUUUUGAAAUGGGAGUUGGACUUGAGUGAUCCCAACGCUUUUCCUCACCGAAAAGUGGCGGGUUACUUGAAAUGCAGGUGCAGCUGGACUUUUCUCUGAGCUAUAAGCAUAUCUAUUUAGUCUGCCUAAAAAACAGAUUAUUACCUUUGCUGCAGCUAACAUAAAGGAGAUUAGUUCUUGUGCUGACUGAUGCAGGAUUCACAAAGACGGCUUCGGCCGACUUUGUAAACUCGAUCUCAAAUCAAGUAAGACUACCCGCUGAACUUAAGCAUAUCAAUAAGCGGCGGA